ACGUUAGCGGCGGACGGGUGAGUAACACGUGGGUAACCUACCUAUAAGACUGGGAUAACUUGGGAAACCGGAGCUAAUACCGGAUAAUAUUUCGAACCGCAUGGUUCGAUAGUGAAAGAUGGUUUUGCUAUCACUUAUAGAUGGACCCGCGCCGUAUUAGCUAGUUGGUAAGGUAACGGCUUACCAAGGCGACGAUACGUAGCCGACCUGAGAGGGUGAUCGGCCACACUGGAACUGAGACACGGUCCAGACUCCUACGGGAGGCAGCAGUC
rnacentral:rRNA from 1 species